GACGAACGCUGGCGGCGUGCUUAACACAUGCAAGUCGAACGCUGAAGCCUGGUGCUUGCACUGGGUGGAUGAGUGGCGAACGGGUGAGUAAUACGUGAGUAACCUGCCCUUGACUCUGGGAUAAGCCUGGGAAACUGGGUCUAAUACUGGAUACGACAUGUCACCGCAUGGUGGUGUGUGGAAAGGGUUUUACUGGUUUUGGAUGGGCUCACGGCCUAUCAGCUUGUUGGUGGGGUAAUGGCUCACCAAGGCGACGACGGGUAGCCGGCCUGAGAGGGUGACCGGCCACACUGGGACUGAGACACGGCCCAGACUCCUACGGGAGGCAGCAGUGGGGAAUAUUGCACAAUGGGCGGAAGCCUGAUGCAGCGACGCCGCGUGAGGGAUGACGGCCUUCGGGUUGUAAACCUCUUUCAGCACGGAAGAAGCGAAAGUGACGGUACGUGCAGAAGAAGCGCCGGCUAACUACGUG
rnacentral:rRNA from 1 species